rnacentral:rRNA from 1 species
UGGCGGUGUGUCUAAUACAUGCAAGUCGAACGGCCUUUUAUUAGGCAGUGGCGAACGGGUGCGUAACACGUUGGAUCUGCCCCAGACUCAGGGAUAACAUGCCGAAAGGUGUGCUAAUACCGGAUGGUCCCGCGAGGGUAAAGCUUUUGCGGUCUGGGAGGAACCUGCGGCCUAUCAGCUUGUUGGUAAGGUAACGGCUUACCAAGGCUAUGACGGGUAGCCGGUCUGAGAGGAUGAUCAGCCACAAUGGAACUGCGACACGGUCCAUACUCC